GGGCGCGUAGUGUCAACGGUUAGCACAUCUGCCUCCAAAGCAGAGAGUCAGGGUUCGAAUCCUUGCGCGCCUG
rnacentral:tRNA from 1 species